UCGAAUCCUUGCGACGUAUCAGUAUAUAAAGAGAUGAAACCCUAUCCAGAUUACGGGACGGGAAAAUACGUUUGCCGAUGUCCAGCGGUUGUACCGAACAACACGCAAGCAUCCCAGGUUCAACGCCUUACGACGCCGAAUUCACGCUUCCUGAAAUGUCCCCAACUCUUAACGUUGCUAACCAACAAGAGCUCCAAAUUUGGUAUGGAGAGGAUGCAUUUAACCAUUAUGAAACUGAUAAUUUUGGCAUUGUCCAGAUUGACUUGUACUGCUAUUAUAUCUAACAGGACUGAUUCGCACGUAUACACGAUUCUCAUAAUGGCCGACACUAAUUAGCAUAUUAUCUCUCAAUUCAUAAUGUUGACAAAAGAAAACAAUCAAAUGGUAGAUAUCAAAGCCAAAGAUAAACUCUGAAAGUUUCAGGGGAAAAUAUUUAAUCCUCUUGACGUUGUAAGGGUUAGAAGAGGUACGAAAACACCAAAACGAGGCUACCCAGUCACCAGCAAAGAAUUCCAUACAAAUUUAUGUAUUUUAAUUCCUCCAUAACUUUGUUAGUUUAUGGCUUCAAAACUUUCCAUGAAUACCUAUAUUUCCAGUAGUUCUUCCAUAUGACAGUGUUGAAUGUUUCCAAAAUAUUAUGAAUUGUAUAAAAUCGAUGGUAGGCACUCAUGAGAGUGGUCUAUAGGGAGGAUUUCGCAUGAGAGUAUCCAAAAAAAAGGCACAUUCGUGCUUUGGCCGUACCGUGCCGUGCCGUGUUGGUGAUGUAUUGUUGAAUUUUUAUUUUUAUUUGGAAUCACUACAAGGUGAAGUUCCGUGACCCAACCGUGCCCGUGCCGUGAUCCUUACCGUUACAAAGUCAUACGAAGUCCACUCUAUCUUUAUGUCAAAGCACCUUGCUCCAUAUCUGCAUCGCAAAAAAAGAGAAAAGAGGGAAAAUAAAAGACGUUUUCUGCUUGCUGGGUUGAAUCAUUCAAAAAAAAAUAAAAGACCAAUGACCAUGUUGGUCAAUUGUUACUGAAAGCUCCUCCAAGAUGGACGCUUAUGACGUAACCUGCAAACGAAGAAUUUGUAGCUGGGNCUGCAUUCAGUAAACUAGGAGACAAUCGAAUUCGUUCCAUAUAGAUAACAGGGAAUUUCGACAUAGGAUAACAAUAUAUGCCUGUACUUAGUCUAAUUUAUUUAGGUAUAAUUAACAAUAGAAGCGAAUUUCCAUUUAACGUAAUGUUCAUCAAGGAGACAAUUGCCUGAGCAUAAAUCACUUGUAUUGACAGCCGAGACAAUUUCUCGAAUGGCAGCACUUAUAACUCCUGAAAACAUUUCACAUUCUCUCUAAAUCUUGAGUACAAUUUAUAUUCUGAGUGUAACGAAGCAAUUGAAAUACAUUUUGUUAGAAUAGGCAUUUAGCGGGUGCCUAGUGGAUACUUUGGCACGAUUCCCUUUUUUCAGCACUGCUGUAACUCAAAAAACUUCAACUAUCAGAAUAAACNUACCUAUAGAAACAUGGAAAACGUAGUGACGGUGAAAAGUACGAAGAACAAGGCAGAUCUAUAAGAAUGCCCUUCCCCCUCCCCCAAUUCGAAUUGGCUUUGAAUUCAAA
rnacentral:misc_RNA from 1 species